rnacentral:rRNA from 1 species
AUAACCCCGGAAAACUGGGGAUAAUACCCCAUAGACUACAGAAGCUGGAAUGCUCUGUAAUCGAAAGGUCCGCCGCCCAGAUGGGUCUGCGGCUGAUUAGGUUGUUGUUGGGGUAACGGCCCAACAAGCCUGUAAUCAGUACGGGUUGUGGGAGCAAGAACCCGGAGAUGGAUUCUGAGACACGAAUCCAGGCCCUACGGGGCGCAGCAGGCGCGAAAACUUUACAAUGCGAGAAAUCGUGAUAAGGGAACCCCGAGUGCCCGUAAAUUCGGGCUGUUAAUCUGUGUAAAAAGCAGGUGGAGAAAGGGCCGGGCAAGACCGGUGCCAGCCGCCGCGGUAAUACCGGCGGCUCGAGUGGUGGCCACUAUUACUGGGCUUAAAGCGUCCGUAGCUGGAUUGUUAAGUCUCUUGGGAAAUCUACCGGCUUAACCGAUAGGCGUUCAAGGGAUACUGGCAAUCUAGGGACCGGGAGAGGUGAGAGGUACUCCAGGGGUAGGAGUGAAAUCCUGUAAUCCUUGGGGGACCACCUGUGGCGAAGGCGUCUCACCAGAACGGCUCCGACAGUGAGGGACGAAAGCUGGGGGAGCAAACCGGAUUAGAUACCCGGGUAGUCCCAGCUGUAAACGAUGUGCGUUAGGUGUAUCGGUGACCACGAGUCACCGAGGUGCCGAAGAGAAAUCGUGAAACGUACCGCCUGGGAAGU